UUAGGGUUGGCCCUGACCUAGUUUGACCAGUGUCCUUAUGAAAACGCAGAAGUUGGACAAAGACACACCCACAGGGAAAGCACCAUGAGAAGAUGACGGCAGAGAUCUGGGCGACGCGUCUACAAGCCAAGCGACACCAAAGGUGGCCAGCAGCCCAUGUGAAGCUGGAGGAGAGGCCUCGAAUAAAUGCUCCCUUACAGCGUUCAGGGGGAACUGACCCUGUCCACACCUUGACCUUGAACUUCUGGGCUCCAGAACUGUGAGACAGCAUGUUCUGUUGUUGAAGGAGCAGCGUGGCUAGAGGAAUUCCUGCAGCUUAGAUUUCGCUGGCACUGUUACCACUCCCAGAGAGGAGCGGCUGGAGUUCACGGCUGGUUCCUGACAAACUUCCUAAUUAAUCUGCUAAAGAUCAGAGGAGGACUAAUAGGAGCUGAAGACUGUGUGCGAGACCACCCCUCCGCCCUCUCCCUUUGUGUGUGCACGUGUGUGUGUGUGUGUGUGUGAGCGCGUGCGCGCAUGUGGUGCUGAGCUUGGCGGGAGAGAGAUGGCCUCACCAGCGACAAAGCAUUCCUGCUGCUGUUGCUGCCACCUACCUUCCCUGCUUUGGGAGGAUACAUUUUCUCCUCUUGCUUAGAAGUUUCAGGGAGUCACCCAAGCCUUCUUCUCCCAGAUACAACGGUGGAAUAAAAUAUCUUCCAGCCAACAUAUUUUUUGGAGACGGAAUCUCACUCUGUCACCUGGUUGAAGUGCAGCAGCGCGAUCAUGGCUCACUGCAACCUCUGCCUCCCGGUUUCAAGUGAUUCUCCUGCCUCCGCCUCCCGAGUAGCUGGGAUUACAGGCAUGUGCCACCCACCACGCCUGGGUAAUUUUUGUAUUUUUACUAGAGACAGGGUUUCACUAUGUGGGCUGGGCUGGUCUCAAACUCCUGACCUCUGGUGAUCUGCCCACUUCGGCCUCUCAAAGUGCUGGGAUUACAGGCAUGAGCCCCCGCACCCGGUUGCAACCAACUUUUUUGUGGAAUAUAGGAUCUUGAUGUUUGGAUGCCUGAAGGCAGAAGCUGUUGCACAUGGAAUGGAUUAAAGUUUUCCCCUCUGCAACCAAAAAUCCUUGGGGUCCCAGGAGCAAAAGAUGCUCCAUGGCACAGGACAAUUCAAGAAGGCCCGAGGUGAUAUUGAAGACUGCAGAGACAUCCAGCUCAGUUGUGUCUCCGGAGGUGUCCAGACUUUGCAGACAGACGUUGCACAUAAAGAGCUGAAAAACUGAGGAAGCUGAGCUGGAGAAGGAAGUCACUUCUACUCAGACUUGACCUGCGUCUGAUGCUAUGGGGCCUCUUAGGGUUACCUCAUGCUUCAUGCACCCCUUUCUCUGUUCUUCAGCAGAAGGCAGGGUGUAGGGAAGCGGGACUGUGCCUCCUUUCUCCCUGCCAGGCCUGACUCUCCAGGCCAAGAGACACCAUUAAGGAGUAUAAUUUGUUGAUCCAGGCUCUCCUUGCGUUUCAGUGCAGAGUGGCAUCGUUUUCUUUAUGACCUCGUAAAGUCACAGCCGAGAGGCCGAUUUGGAAAACAAACUGCCUCAGGUUGACAGAUAAUUAGAUACAGGGGACAUAUUAUAUGCCUUUGCAUAUAAAUGUGCUCCGAGGCGUGUUGGUUCAUCUGAAGUUGAGGUUAAAGGCGCGCCAGGUAUUCCUGACACAUCAGGAUAUAUAUUUUCAUACAGUCUCAGGUGCUGUGUUGGUUUUAUAGGCCUUUCAUCCUGGUGCUGACGGAUGGGGUGUGAUUGUGACCCAACUUAGAAGAAAGGGACUUCCCUUGCCCAGGGGCCUCCUGGCGUUUUUGUUUUGUGUUCUCCCUCUCCACCCCCACUUUCUCUUCUUCCUUGGGAAGGGAACUGUUCUUUGGACCUAGGAUUCUGCCGUGAGUGACUAAUGGCCUGAGUAGGAGGGACCGGGACUCAUUUUUCUUUUCUGGACUCUAAUAGGCCCAAUUAAUUCAGCUACAACAUGGGCCCUUACAAGCCUGGGACAAGCCUGGGUGGAAUUCUAUAUUGAGGGUAAGAAAAGGGAUGGAAGUAGAUGUUUUCCAGAAGGUUCUGUGGACUCUGGGGGUGACCUGUGGACAGCUGCUGCUGCCCACUACCUGGCAGUUUGGCUAUGUGAUACAUGUCAGCCUUACAAGGAGAUCCCCCUUACCCUGGAAUCUACUUUGGGGGAGCAGAACUUGAGCCUCAGGCAAAUCAGAGACGAGGGGGAAACUUUGCUUUUUCCUCCAGUGGCAGGGAGCUCUGGGCUGGGGAAAUGUCUUUUUGAACACAAAGUUCCAGUUGCAUUCAUCCACAGGAAAAUGUAAAGAGCUUAAUUUAAUGCCCUCUGGGAGUCAUUUCGAUUUAAAAGUGGUAUUAUAGCUUGUGGCUAGAAGAAUGGGCUUAACGGUUAGUCACCUUCUGUUUGGGCAUGUCAUUUAAUCUCUUUGAGGCUGUUUCUUCAUCUUAAAAUAUGAGUGAGAAGGUAGUACCCACCUUACAAUGUGGACAAGAUUAAUUUAGGGAAAACACGUAGCACAGGGCUUCACCCAUGGUAAGUAUUUCAUAAACGGUAACUAUUUUUAACAAUGACAAUUCACAGAGUUAAUCCUAAUAAAAAAUGAUUACAGAAGAGGACGCCUCCACCCACAGGAAGGAGCCAGCACGGUGGGGAGCUGUUUCACCAGGGGAGUGUUCUCAGCAGCUGCCACACGUGGAGUUGUGGAGGUAGCAAGCAGAGUUGGGGGAGGAGGGGGAGCCCUGGUUCCUGCUCUUCCAUGAUCAGUGUGCAGCCUUGAGCAUGGCACUCCCUCUCUUCCCAGCUUAGUGUCCUCAUCCGUAAAAUGAGGGGCUCUCUGAGAGUCUGCCAGGGCCGCUGUCUGAUCUGUGACAGCGUGGCAUGUGGUGUGGUAUGUAAUGCACGUUCCUGCCUGCAGGGAGGCCCUCUCCCUUCCCCCACCAGGCUUCUGGGCAGCACUUGCUGUCAUCCUUGCUUCUGGAACAGGACUGUGCUGUUUUCCAGGCCAAAUUGGAGGGCUGAGGGGGUCUAUUAAGAAGACUCUGGGGAGAUGGUGGAACAAUUCUGUGCUUGAAAUUACCUUCCUCUUUAAAUCUUGCCAUGGCCCUAUUAGAAAAGCUAAGGGGGCAGGAGGAGAGGAGCGGGCAGGGAGAGGAGAGAGAGAGAGAAGAAGGAAGAAGGAAAGGGAAAGGUAAGAAACCCCAUAGCCCGACCCUCAGCCCUGUUGAAGGAGAUUAUAUAAAUAGAGUCGCUGUCACUUUGAUGAAUUAAAUCCUCCGUUAAUUAGGACGCAUCCAUUUAAGGGUUGUCCAGCCAGAUAGUCCUUUUCCCUUCCCAGCAAGUCAUAGCUCAGGGAGGAGGCAUGAGAGGGAUCGUUUUCUGUUUCUGGCUUGAUUGCUGGUUUCUUUCUUACUAGGCUUCAUUAAUUAUCCUGGAAUGUGGUCACCCAGUUUUCUUCAACAUGGGCCAUUCUCCUUUUAGCAGGAUCUUGGCAGUGGACUGCCACGGGAGCUCUGGGGAAAAAGGACCAGUUGGACUCCAGUACCUCCUGAGAGACCACCACCCUCCAUGCCUCCAGCUCAUGCCCAGCUCUGAGUCAGACGGACUCUUCCUGUUGUACUGCGAGGUUCUGCAAACCUUGAAGGGCAAACACAGUGAGGGUCUCUGACUUGCUGUGUGGACAGCCCACUCUCUGACAGCCCAGAUCAUCUGAAGCUAUCCCUGGGCUGGGAGCUGGAAGCCAUUCUUGUGAACCACUCCUUAUACCUUGAGCGAAGCCUCUUUGGGUCCCAGAAGUCUGAAGCUCCAGCUGCCUGGCAAGACUGAGUCUAGAUGAUUUCUUGGGUACCAGUAGUUUGGCAUUUAAAAAUACUGGAUUAACUGCAGUGUAAACUUAGAUUGCAUUUCAGAUUGUAAACAAUAACCCCCGUGCUUCAUGUGAUGUUAAAUCAGAAAUGAGCUAUUAGCCAAGCUAGUCCUCUUAUGAAUGAGCCCCUAACCCUGAUCCAGGGAUCGUUGAAUGAAAAUCAUCAAAAUGAUUUAUCUUCACUUUACCUAUUGUCUCACAAGAAUCUCAUCACUCAGGGAAAAGGAGGGUGUUCUUCAGGGAACGGAGGGCAUGAGGAAGGGGGAUUUCCUUAUAUCUCAACUUUCAGAGGGAGCUGAGUUGUAAACAGAUGGAACAAGGUGUGUACGAGAAGCCUCUUAGAUUUAGUCUUUCAUAUCAAGGCUCUUGCUGAAAAUCCUGGCACAGCUGUGAAAUGAGGGGAGCUCUGACACACAGAGACACGCUCCUUGCCUCACCAACCUUCCCAUACACAGUCAUGCGCACAGAGAGCAGGUACCAAUACUGAAAAUGCCCUUCCGGAGUUUCCUCAGCUUAAACCCUUGACAGCAUUAAGUGAGGAAGGAGUUUCCUUGACCUGGGGAAGAAGAACCAACUCAUAAACAUGGAACUGUG
rnacentral:lncRNA from 1 species